rnacentral:misc_RNA from 1 species
CCUGAAGAUACCUUCCGGCGCAGUGUCCACACAGAUUGUCUGAUAAAAAGUAACGAGCAGAAAAACCUCUACAGGCUUGUAGCUCAGGUGGUUAGAGCGCACCCCUGAUAAGGGUGAGGUCGGUGGUUCAAGUCCACUCAGGCCUACCAAAUUUCUUCUCAUGCUGCGAUAUGCACUCGGUCGUUUACUGUAGUAAACUUCCCACCCGCAUGCCUUGCCUGAGUAAAAAUUAACAUUUUCCUUCUUAUUACAGAAGAAAAUGACUCCUGGUAGACAAAGGUUUCUGUAAGACCGUAUGGGGCUAUAGCUCAGCUGGGAGAGCGCCUGCCUUGCACGCAGGAGGUCAGCGGUUCGAUCCCGCUUAGCUCCACCAUAUGGUUUUUCUUCAUUCAAUACUUCAGAGCGUACUGUUUAACAGUAUGCUGCGAAGUAUUAUGCUCUUUAACAAUCCGGAACAAGCUGAAAAUUGAAACGACGUGUCGUGUUCAUUCUCCGUAAUCAGAAUGAAAUCACGAUAUGUUCGAGUCUCUCAAAUACUUGCACCCGAAAGGGUCUCUUACUCAGGUUGAGUAAUGAGCGAGCUAAGUGAAGGCAAGGCGUCAGCGCGCAGCAACGCGGAGUGGACUUGAGUCCAUGAGCAUUGCGAGCACUGCAUAACGCCGCCGUCACGACGCGCAGCCAUUACGUGAACCGGAGAGGGACGCUUGUGGGUUGUGA